rnacentral:rRNA from 1 species
GAUGAACGCUGGCGGCGUGCCUAAUACAUGCAAGUCGAGCGAACGGACGAGAAGCUUGCUUCUCUGAUGUUAGCGGCGGACGGGUGAGUAACACGUGGAUAACCUACCUAUAAGACUGGGAUAACUUCGGGAAACCGGAGCUAAUACCGGAUAAUAUUUUGAACCGCAUGGUUCAAAAGUGAAAGACGGUCUUGCUGUCACUUAUAGAUGGAUCCGCGCUGCAUUAGCUAGUUGGUAAGGUGACGGCUUACCAAGGCAACGAUGCAUAGCCGACCUGAGAGGGUGAUCGGCCACACUGGAACUGAGACACGGUCCAGACUCCUACGGGAGGCAGCAGUAGGGAAUCUUCCGCAAUGGGCGAAAGCCUGACGGAGCAACGCCGCGUGAGUGAUGAAGGUCUUCGGAUCGUAAAACUCUGUUAUUAGGGAAGAACAUAUGUGUAAGUAACUGUGCACAUCUUGACGGUACCUAAUCAGAAAGCCACGGCUAACUACGUGCCAGCAGCCGCGGUAAUACGUAAGUGGCAAGCGUUAUCCGGAAUUAUUGGGCGUAAAGCGCGCGUAGGCGGUUUUUUAAGUCUGAUGUGAAAGCCCACGGCUCAUCCGUGGAGGGUCAUUGGAAACUGGAAAACUUGAGUGCAGAAGAGGAAAGUGGAAUUCCAUGUGUAGCGGUGAAAUGCGCAGAGAUAUGGAGGAACACCAGUGGCGAAGGCGACUUUCUGGUCUGUAACUGACGCUGAUGUGCGAAAGCGUGGGGAUCAAACAGGAUUAGAUACCCUGGUAGUCCACGCCGUAAACGAUGAGUGCUAAGUGUUAGGGGGUUUCCGCCCCUUAGUGCUGCAGCUAACGCAUUAAGCACUCCGCCUGGGGAGUACGACCGCAAGGUUGAAACUCAAAGGAAUUGACGGGGACCCGCACAAGCGGUGGAGCAUGUGGUUUAAUUCGAAGCAACGCGAAGAACCUUACCAAAUCUUGACAUCCUUUGACAACUCUAGAGAUAGAGCUUUCCCCUUCGGGGGACAAAGUGACAGGUGGUGCAUGGUUGUCGUCAGCUCGUGUCGUGAGAUGUUGGGUUAAGUCCCGCAACGAGCGCAACCCUUAAGCUUAGUUGCCAUCAUUAAGUUGGGCACUCUAAGUUGACUGCCGGUGACAAACCGGAGGAAGGUGGGGAUGACGUCAAAUCAUCAUGCCCCUUAUGAUUUGGGCUACACACGUGCUACAAUGGACAAUACAAAGGGCAGCGAAACCGUGAGGUCAAGCAAAUCCCAUAAAGUUGUUCUCAGUUCGGGUUGUAGUCUGCAACUCGACUACAUGAAGCUGGAAUCGCUAGUAAUCGUAGAUCAGCAUGCUACGGUGAAUACGUUCCCGGGUCU